GGAGAACCAGGAAGGGCCCUUUUUCCUGUUUGCCUGCUCCAGCGGCAAGAUGUGAUCCACCAACAAGGAGGAUAAGCCUAACUCGGUCAGGCGGCUGGCAUAAAGCACACACAUGGCGGUGGGGCUCAGACAGCUUUUGGCAGAAAUAUUUAUUGUAACACCACACCUGUGUUUCUGGUGCCUGAGGAGACCUUGUAUCUUCUGGAAUUGGAAGGAAAGAUGAGUGUGAGCUACCAUGUGAGUGAUACAUACUCAUGCCCUGUGCAACAGCAGGUGAGACAGCUGGGGCAGUGUUGGACAGCUCACCCUGGUGAUGAGGAUGAGGGAGAAGAGGUGGGAUGACCAACACCGCCACCAUCCAGGCCCAGAACCAGGGCUUUUAGUUGGCCUACCCCAACAUUUACACCAUCCAUGAUCAUCUGGAGCAUGUGAAGGAGACAGAACUGCAGACACAAAGCUGCAGGAUCUCCAUGACGCAGCAACAGCAGGAUAUCCAAGAGGAGUCCAAGUGAGUGCCCAGUAUCAACAGUAUAGAAGAAACCAGAGGCCACAAACCACAGCAAUGACUCGUUGUAAAUAAAGAUGUAUGCCAUAAAAUGUACACUGUGUGACUCACUGUGUCACAGUAUGGCUUCUAUGAUGACAUUUCCUUUCUUUCUUUAUUUCUUUCUUUCUUUCUUUCUUUCUUUCUUUCUUUCUUUCUUUCAUUUUUUCUGUCCUCCC
rnacentral:lncRNA from 1 species